rnacentral:misc_RNA from 1 species
GAUGAAGAACGCAGCGAAAUGCGAUAAGUAGUGUGAAUUGCAGAAUUCAGUGAAUCAUCGAGUCUUUGAACGCACAUUGCGCCCCCUGGUAUUCCGGGGGGCAUGCCUGUCCGAGCGUCAUUGCUGCCCUCAAGCACGGCUUGUGUGUUGGGCCUCCGCCCCCCGGCUCCCGGGGGGCGGGCCCGAAAGGCAGCGGCGGCACCGCGUCCGGUCCUCGAGCGUAUGGGGCUUCGUCACCCGCUCCGUAGGCCCGGCCGGCGCCCGCCGGCGACCCCCCUCAAUCUUUCCAGGUUGACCUCGGAUCAGGUAGGGAUACCCGCUGAACUUAAGCAUAUCAAUAAGCGGAGGA